CAAAUCUAAAAUGUUUUAAAAUUACAGAGCCACCCCCAUGACUACUUUAUUCUUCAUGUGUAGGCAAUGGCGUAAUAUGUACAGUCAUGUGGGACCUGGAAAGACAAGUAGUUGGAGGUUGGAAGACAUUUGGAAGGUUUUGUAGACACAACUGGCAUUCUCUUGGUAGAUCAUAAAUUGGUAGCUCCUCCCCAUAGUUCCACACCUUUAGCGCCGCUAGCUGCAUGAGUCUUGGAACCUGUCCGUCAGGUGUACUGGUAACUCCCUCAAUUACUGCUGGGCUGAAUGACCUUUGUCCCUCCAGUGCAGAUGUUCCCUUGCCAGAAGCCUUCCAGUGAAGUUUAAGUUUGUGACCAUUAGCUUUUAUUGACUGAAUCAUAUAUGAUCUGACUGGAAUUCCAAGAAGCUUUAAGACCGAAUGCCAGAAAUGACUUUGGUAUCUCUGAGCAGCUCCCAUUCCAAACAACUUAGGAAAAGUGAACCACUCUGCUCCAUGAUCUUUGAUUACUUUAAGUGCUUCUUGUAACAUUGGCCUCUGCACUUGUUUUUAAAAAUGGUCAAUAGCUGCAGGGUCUUUCAAUGACAUCUUUACCUGUUGUGAUGUUAAAGGAAAAUGUUCUGAUGGAGACUUCAACAUUUCACUUAAAGUUUCAUGGUGCUUCAAAACAGUUGCUGGCCAUAACCAUGCUAGGUAAUCACUGGAAAAACCAAGUUCUGCAUCACUAGCUUGGGAUGUGUUCAGAGAUGGGAUGAUAAACUUGUCAAGGAAUUCAAACAAAAACUUGAUUUCAACUUGGAUCAUAGGACUUGAGCUCGUCUUAAUGACAUCUCGCAAUAUAUUGUGGUGGCUAUCUGAUUUUGGCAAUCUUUGAAGGAGAUGCUCAGCAAGCUGUAAACAAGUUUCUCCAUAUUUAAGAUACCACUGGAGAGUCUCAUGAUAAUACGUCCGCCUUGUGUCAAUGAAUGUCUGAGGAAGGGGUGGCUCUUUACUAAGAAUAGCUAGAGAAACAUACAUAAUUUUGUAUUGGCUUGGACGCUCAUGAUGGAGCCAAGAUAUUUUAUGGGGGUUACUCAUGUCACCCUUUUCCCCCAAACCCAGCCUGGCACAAUCUUCUCAGCAUGAUGUUUAGUACAUGUGGGUAGCAUCCCACAAAAAAAAAAUAUAUUUCCUUUCCAAAAAUUUUGGUGUUGUUUGCUAAGAGACCAUUUACUUUUCCCUUUUGGGUAGAGGCAUUGUCUCCAACCAACUGCGAAACAUUGGUGAUGUCAUAUUCGUUUUUCACAACGUGAUAAUCCAUGUCAGACUGGUGUUUUCUGGACCCGCCUGCUGUAAGGCUGUUUGCUAGGACGUAAGCUCGAGGCUUGCUCUCUAUAGGGCACCAGGUGUGAACACCCACUAUGUGCCUCUCUUCUCCUCCCUUGUGGGAGUCAUCGCUCCAGAGAUGAAAAUCGUACUUGGAGUUUGAAAAGCGCUUCAGUAAAAUUAGUUUGUCUGCUUCACCUAAGAGAACAUUCCAGUCAGAAAGUGUACUUGGAGAGACAACAAAGUUUGUUGGGGGGGCUACAGUCAAACAGAAUAUUGAAAAUCAGAUGUAAUACUACAGGUGUGUUUUGAUAAGAUAACAAAGAUGCAUGUUGCAUGUAUCUGACACAAGCCAUAAA
rnacentral:lncRNA from 1 species